GGGCGGACGGCGCGGGACGCCCUGUACCUGCUCUCUCUGUGUGUUCUGGAGGUUACGAGGCAGGUUUCUAGUUUUGGGAGGUGGAUGGAUGCUGAGGACCUGAACUGAAUGAGCGCGUCUCUACCAUCACUCUCAUCCUUCUCAAGUUCAGCCGCAGACGACACACUUUCUCCCAAAUGCCGUGGGCCUGUUGUCUCUUGAACUCACGCAACCAGAGAGUUAACGCACUAAUAUUAGAGGACAGUGCCAAUCUGAUGAAGUGUCAUUUAUAUUUAGAUGUGAGAGGAUCAGGGUUGCUUCAAAACAGAUGCCCACAGACGUCAUCAGUACCUGUCCAGGCGUUCCAGUUUGGCUGCUGAACGCUGGCCUCGAUGAACUGUAGGGUCAGCACACCUCCAGCCCUACUCCAGCUUGCUAUUCAUCCUCUACCACACUGGGGGCACCUGGCACCCCUCCCUACCAUGGCAGGCCAGAUCAAUGGUAAGAUCCAUUCGAGCAGAAUGACCGGAGGUCGGCAUCAAAGGCCCCCUGCUUGUCUCGCUGCCACCUGGAGCUCUGUGAGGGUCAUGGGCCGCCUGGGCUUCCACUGCCUCCUCUCCCCUUCAGCUGGCUGGGUACACUGACUGGAGCCCGGGCAGGGAAUGAGCUGGCUCUGCCCUGGCCCAGCAGCCCACAUGGGGAGAGGGCCAGAGGUCAAGCCCAUCAGAGCACUUUGCUUCAUCUGAUGAGAGGAUCUGGUCUGGUUUUAAUGAGGCAACACUGAUUCCAUGUCUCUUUAUGCACGUGAGCAGGCCUAAUGUGUGGAUUGUACUAGACGAGAUGCUGUGAUUUUCUUCUCAAUCACAGGAUGAAGAGAAAGUGUCUCAGCUGUUCACAG
rnacentral:lncRNA from 1 species